UAGAAUGGGGGCACCCUGACCGCAAUGCCGCGUGAGUGAAGAAGGCCUUCGGGUUGUAAAGCUCUUUUGUCAGGGAAGAAACACCGGCUCUAACACAGUCCGGGAAUGACGGUACCUGAAGAAUAAGCACCGGCUAACUACGUGCCAGCAGCCGCGGUAAUACGUAGGGCGCAAGCGUUAAUCGGAAUUACUGGGCGUAAAGCGUGCGCAGGCGGUUAUACAAGACAGGCGUGAAAUCCCCGGGCUUAACCUUGGAAUGGCGCCUGUGACUGUAUAGCUAGAGUGUGUCAGAGGGGGGUAGAAUUCCACGUGUAGCAGUGAGGGUGCGGGAGAUAUGUGGAGGAAUACCAAUGGCGAAGGCAGCCCCCUGGGAUAACACUGACGCUCAUGCACGAAA
rnacentral:rRNA from 1 species